AUAAGGUUUACCAUUUUUCUCUCCAUUUUCGAAACAACCAAAUGCUUCAUCAACAGUAACAAUUUGAGAAAAACUAAACCAAGAGAAAGCAACCUUCGACUCUUAUCCCAAGAUUCAAUCUUCAAUUCACUAGGACAUGAUUUUCUUGGAUGCUUUUCCUCCUUACCCACCAAUCUAAAUAUAUUUCAUUUCCUUCGAUUUUCUGUUUGUUCUUUCUUGCACAAGUAAAAAAAAAAGAGAAGAAAGAUGUCAACUUUGGUGGUGAAUUCCCACAUUUUAUACCACAUAAACCAAAGCGGUGGUGGUGGUGGCUGCUACGUACUGCAAACAACUUCUGGGGGUUGUAAUUGGUUUGAUCGUAGAAAUAAUGGAAGCUCCAAAAAGAUUUCAAAGAGAGACUUGAGAGUAGAAGCGUUUUGGCCAGAUAUGACAAGACCUACUACUAUAGAGAUGGAACCCAUCAACGAUUCUGAGCAGCUCGAUCAGAUUCUACUCCAGGCUCAGGAAGUCUCCCAACCCAUUCUCGUUGAUUGGUGUGUAAACUGACAUAUAUGGCAAUCCUUUGUUGUUCUAUGUUAACAAAAUUUUAAUUAUGCUCGUAGAUAUCAACUAUGGAUUGUGCUUUUAAUUUGUAGGAUGGCUGCUUGGUGCCGAAAAUGCAUCUAUUUGAAGCCGAAGUUGGAGAAAUUAGCUGCUGAAUAUGAUACCAAGUAACCCUUUCUCUCUCUAUCCCUCUCCUGUGCUUGUGUACAAAUUGAUGGAGUUAACAGUAGAUUAACCUAAAUCCCGCCGUGUUGUGUCUUGAUGCCAGAAUUUCCCAUUAGAUUAUAAUUAAAGAAUAUUCAAAAUUAGGAAAUUCUUUCUGCUGCUGAUACAUGGCUCUGUGGACUAUGGUAGAAAGAUUUUGGAUUGACACUUACUGUUCUUGAUCUUGUUUAAAAUAUAUAUAUAGGAUCAAGUUUUACUUUGUGGAUGUCAACAAGGUACCUCAAUCUCUAGUCAAGCGAGGAAACAUAUCUGUAUGUUUGAUAAUUCUCACCUCUCUAUUAUUUAAUUGAUUAUUUCCUUCUUAUGAUCAUCACAUAUGAAUUUUUUCUUCUAAUGAGCCUUCUUUUAUUUGCCAGAAAAUGCCCACAAUACAGGUAAUUUUCACCCUCAAGUUUUUGCUUUAUUGUGCUUAAAAUACUUGAUUGACUUUGACCUAACACUUGUAUUGCAGCUAUGGAAGGAUGGAGAGAUGAAAGCAGAAGUAAUUGGAGGACACAAGGCCUGGCUUGUGAUUGAAGAAGUCAGAGAGAUGAUCCAAAAAUUCAUUUGAUAAUUUGUAUUCCUGAUUAAGCUUGUAAUCAUGUAUAUGUGCCUAAAAUACAUUGAACCCAUCUUUCAUUUAGGUCACUUCCUUAAGAAUCAUAUAGAAUUGAAGUACCUAAGAUUGUCACAGCAGAUAAUAGUCAAAACAGAAAAUCUGCAGGCAUAGAAACUGCACACACUCAUUCAAAUAAUCAUCAAUAAACCAUAAAAACAUGGAUUAUAUAUAUGUAAAGUACAUAUAAUCGUACAAUUAUAUAGUAUAGGAAAAAAGAAGAAAAAUAAUGCAAGAUUCAUGCAGGUGCAACUUGGUACAAAAUUGAGUAAUCAAUCCCUAAUUUAAUUAAUUAUAUUAUUGUAUUUUUAAUUUCCAUUUUUCAAUUCGUUGAUUCUUGAAGUUUUCUUAGUGCAGAACAAUGAAGUCAAAUUGAGUACCCAAAAAUAUCCUAUUCAUUGGCAUCCUGUAAAGAAGAAGAUUACAGUGCACAAGAAACUGUGUAAAUAUUCCUAUAACAUUUUUCUCACAUGGUCAGGGACAAGAACAAAUGGAAGCACUGCAGUUCUGGCAUUUCCUGUUUGCAAAACAACUAAAAUACAAUCUAAGGAGCACACUAACAAUGUAAUUCCAGAGUAGCGCAUCAGAAUCAGAUAAAGAUUAUAAUCCCUCCCUGAAUAAUCUGUAGCCUUGACAAUAUCAUAAGGAUGAAAAACUGGGGACUAAAACGAAUUACAGGAGUCUAAAAUUCCUUCUAAUUUCUGAGGCCAGUUUGGAAUUUUAUGCUUGAGACUCUGGCCCUGCUGGUUUUGAGUUGAGAAGUGGCUGCAAAGCCUUCACAACAAUUGUCAUGUUUGGCCUGAAAUCUGCCUCGUACUGGACACAAAGUGCUGCAACUGCUGCCAACUUGGCAAUUGCCUUUGGUGGGUAGUCAUUAUUUAGUUUGGGAUCCACACAUUGUUUCACUUUAUCCUCACUCAAUCUUGGAGUUGCCCAGGUAACAAGACUCUGUUGUCCCUUAGGCAUUGUAUGGUCUACUGGCUUUCUUCCUGUCAAAAGCUCUAGAAGUACAACUCCAAAACUG
rnacentral:misc_RNA from 1 species